UCACCUUAAACGAUGCUCUGACAGCCCGGCGCCUGUUCGGUGGCUAACGCGAACAGGCGACGUUAUAAUAUCAGACUAUAGCGGUAAAUCCGGCAGGAAGCUCACAGCAGCCUCGAAAGAUCAUCAAAUAAGCGCGACGACGUGGUUAAUUAAGGAGGAUGCGGAAAACUCUGAACAGAUGGGCGAGCGCUAUGAUGAAGAUGAAGCAUUGUAACAUAUCUUUAAGUCGUCCCUGUAUGAAGCUGCUUUCUACAGCGCUGUGCUUUGACUGAGCAAAGCCGAUCCUGCCGUAGAGUUUUAAUAAAUUCACAGAUAAGAAUCAAA